rnacentral:rRNA from 1 species
UACGUAGGGGGCGAGCGUUAUCCGGAAUUACUGGGCGUAAAGCGCACGCAGGCGGUUCGCCAAGUUUGGAGUGACAGUUGUCGGCUCAACCGACAAAGGACUUCAAAAACUGGUGAACUUGAGGACGAGAGGAGAAGAUGACUCCAGGUGUAGUAGUGAAAUGCGUAGAUAUCUGGAAGAACACCAAUGGCGAAGGCAAUGUUCUGGCUCGUUUCUGACGCUCAGGUGCGAAAGCCAGGGGAGCGAACGGG